ACUGGAAGAUGAUGUCACAAACAUCAACUGGGUGUACUCUCAUUGGCUUCUGUUACCUGGAAUCAUAUCUUAACCCUAAACUGUCAGCUGAAAAGCGAAACGCUUCUCUCUUGCUAUUAUUUCUGCUGAAAAGAAGCGUGGGGAGUCUAAACAAGUUAUUGGAGGAUGAGAUACUGAAAAUGCUGCCCUCCAAGCGCAUGUCCAGUGGGAGAGGAGGAUAGUGGUAUAAGCUGGUUAUAGCAGCUUGCUGCCAGGGGGACAAAACUACAAUCCGCUUUCUCCACCCAAAGAAGCUGUCAGAGGGAUCAUUGUGUGAUGCAAGAAUUACCAGAGCUAUUCAGUGACCAAGCACCUACUAAAUCCAGUGCUGCCUUAUCUCAAGGCAAACCCUUUGAAAGCCUCACAGUUCAGGAAACAGCAAGUAGGAGUACUAGGGAGAGAGUAAGGAGAUUCACUUCAUCCAUGCCCACCUUCAGGAAGGGGGAAUACCAUUGAUGCCUGGUGUGCUUCAUUUCCCCCUGAAGGAUGGACUCCAGUGCAGCUGUAAGAAUGGUAGUGGAAGGAGUGAAAGAAUAUCAGACCUGAAGCAGUUAUGAAGAUGAAGGCUAAGACUAGAGAAAUAUGGGGGCAUAAAGAAUCCAGGAAAUCACCAUGAGAGCAAAUGGACUCUGCGCUAUGCUCACCCAUUGCAGGUUGCUGUUCUUCAGACAAACAAAUCAUCCUGUUAAAUGCUUCUCAUUUUCUAUGAAAAUUAAUUAUAAAGGUAAGUGGUUUAAUUUUGAUUCACAGGUUUGUAGGUUCCUACUCAAGUUGGGGCCACAAGUUAUUGUAUUUAGGGUCCUAUGACCAGCACCUCAGUAUAGUAAAACCUCCGGCAAGACAAUAAUGCUCAUGUUUUGGCCAGAAAGUUGAAGGGAAGGAGAAAGUUCCUGUGUUUUUAUACUUUAUGAAUGUCACACACCUCUGAACUGCUAUCUUACAAGGAAGAUUUCCACUGUCUCCCAGUCUGGCUACCCUGGGAACUGCACCUUUAAGUAUGUGGCCAUCUGUGAGAUGUGCAGCAUCUAAAUUAUAAUGAUUUCUAUCUACAUAAUUCUCAAUAUCUUUAUUUGUAUCAUUAUAUACUACUAAACUUCUGAUAAUUUGUUAUUUUUGCCAUAGGAAACAGUACAGUUGCACAAUAGCUGUGGAGUAAGUAAUCAGUUGAAAUUAUUGAAAAAAAAAAGGUGACAUGCCGGAUUUCCAUUUCAUGGAAUGGUACAUUUUAAUUUUAAAUAUGGUUAUGUUUUUCUUUCAUAAAUUUUUUAUACAGUAUACUCCAGUUUUGCUUUCCUUCCCCAAACUCAUUCCAAUUCCUCAGUACCUCUGGCCCAUCCUGAUCCAUACUGUUUCUGUCUUUAAAAAAUGUAGUGAUGAUAUGGUUGCUAAUGAUAUUCUUCUAUAGUCAUAGAUUAGUAAGUAUAAUCCUUAUUCAGCAGCCAACAGAGAAACUUCCUAGAGCAGCAGAUGGGAACUGAUAGAGAGACCAAUAGCCAGACAUUAGGAAGUAGGAAAGAGAACUUAGAAAAUUCAGCUUGAAAUAAAACAUCCUUAUCAAAUCCCUUCCCUCAAAACUCAGGGAACCUGGAAAGAAGAGGCAGAAACAAUGUAAGAACCAGAGGAAAUGGAGAACACCAGGAGAACAGGGCACUCUGAAUAAAUUGAGCAAGGGCAUAUGAGUUCAUAGAGACUGAAUCAACAGUCACAGGGCCUGCCAGGGAAGGGGAAGGGUCCUCUGUGGUAUUAUAGCUUUCAGUUUAUAUAACAGAAUAUAUCUUAUAUAUGGUUAUAUAUUAUUGCUUUCAGUUUAAUGUUUAUAUACAACUGUAAGGGGUGAGAACAGUGGGUCCCUGAUUCUUCUUUUUUCUCUUGGGUUCUCUUCCUUUUUUUGGCUUACCUUUUCCAACUUCAGUGUGAUAGGUUUUGUUUUAUGUUACAUUUAAUUUUGUUAAAAAAGAAAACAAGCAGACAUCUAAGGAAUGAAAAAACUAAACUAAAACCAAAAUGACUAAUUUAGAAUAGGGUACAGAAGGAGGAGGAAGAGGAGGAGGAGGAAAAAGCCAAAGAAAAACCAAGAUACAGAUGAUUAUGGUUAUAUUUUUAAAGAAUAAAAAUGAGCAAUAUAGCUGCUGGGGCCCUGAACUGAACUGAGCUGGUCAAACAGCACCCUGCACUCAAAUCCCAUGGGGGAGAGAGCUGGACCCUCAGAAGUGCUGACACGCCUGAGAACUGAGAGGAAACUACAUUCUGCUCACAUUCCUGACCCAAGAGGGGAUCACCUAGUGCCAUUUGUGCCCCCUGGGCACAGGGACCUAGGACCAGUCAGGAACAGGACCCUUCAGGUUUCUGCCUGUGCCCAGAGCUGAAAGCCAGUCUCCAGGAGCUCCUACACAGCCAAGAGCAGAGCUCUCUAUUCCCAGAUCCAGCUGAAAGUAAACAAGUCUACAGGAAUGCUGACAUGUAAGCCUAGAGGAGGGUCAAGCCACUGUCUGGGACUCCAAGAUAAGCUAACACCAGAGACAACCUGAUGUCAAGAGGCAAGCGCAGGAAACUAAGCAACAGAAACCAAGACUACUUGGCAUCAUCAGAGUCCAGAUUUCCCACCAAAGCAAAUACUGGAUAUUCAAACACACCAGAAAAACAAGAUUUUGAUUUAAAAUCACAUUUAUGGUGAUGAUGGAGGACUUUAAGUAGGACAUAAAUAACUCCCUUAAAGAAAUACAGGACAACACAAGUAAAGAAGUAGAAGCCCUUAAAGGGAAACACAAAAAUCCCUUAAAGAAUUACAGGAAAGCACAAGAAAACAGGUGAAGGAAUUGAACAAAACAGUCAAGGAUUUACAAAUGGAAAUAGAAACAAUAAAGAAAGCAUAAAGGGAGACAACUAUGCGGAUAUAAAACCUAGGGAAGAGAUCAGGAAUCAUAGAUGUAAGCAUCACAAACAGAAUACAAGAUAGAAGAGAGAAUCUCAGGAACAGAUGGUACCAUAGAAAAAAUUGACACAACCAUCAAAGAUAAUGUAAAACACAAAACGCACCUAGUCCAAAACAUCCAGGAAAUCCAGGACACAAUGAGAAGUUCAAACCUAAGGAUAAUAGGCAUAAAAGAGAGUCAAGACUCCCAAUGUAAAGGGCCAGUAAAUAUCAACAAAAUUAUAGAAGAAAAAUCCCUAACCUAAAGAAAGAGAUGCCCAUAAACAUACAAGAAUAAAGAACUUCAAAUAGAUUGGACCACAAAAGAAAUUUCUCCAGUCCAUAAUAGUCAAAACGCCAAAUACAAAAAGCAAAGAAUAUUAAAAGCAGUAAAGGAAAAAUGUCACAUAACAUAUAAAGGCAGACCUAUCAGAAUUAUACCAGACUUCUCACCAGAGACUAGAAAGACAGAAAGUCCUGGGGAGAUGUCAUACAGACCCUAAGAGAAUAAAAAUGCCAGCCUAGGCUACUAUAUCCAGCAAAACUCUCAAUUAACAUAGAUGAAGAAACCAAGAUAUUCCAUGACAAAACCAAACUUGCACAAUAUCUUUCUACAAAUCCAGCACUACAAAGGAUAAUAGAGCGAAGUUCCAACACAAGAAGAGAAACUACAUCUUAGAGAAAGCAAAAAAGUACUCUCCAUGCAACAAAACCAAAAGAAGAGAGACACACAUCAUAAUUUCACCUCUAACAACAAAAAUAACAGGAAGCAACAAUCACUGUUCCUCGGUAUCUCUUAACAUCAAUAGACUCAGUUCGGCAAUACAAAAACAUAGACUAACAGACUGGAUACAUAAAGAGGACCCUGCAUUCUGCUGCCUACAGGAAACACACCUCAGAGACAAAGACAGACACUACCUCAGAGUGAAAGGCUGGAAAACAACUCUCCAAGCAAAUGGUCCAAAGAAACAAGCUUCAGUAGCAAUUCUAAUAUGGAAUACAAUUGAUUCUCAACCAAAAGUCAUCAAAAAAGAUAAAGAAGGACACUUUAUAUUCAUCAAAGGAUAAAUCCACCAAGAUGAACAAUAAUCCUAAAUAUCUAUGUUCCAAAAACAAGGCAUCUAUAUUCGUAAAAGAAACCUUAGUAAAGCUUAAAUCACACAUUGCACCUUACACAAUAAUAGGAGAUUUCAACACCCCACUCUCAUUCGUGGACAGAUCAUGGAAACAAAAAUUAAACAGAGACAUACAGAAACUAACAGAAGUUAUGAAACAAAUGAACUUAACAAAUACUUUUAGAAUAUUUCAUCCUAAGGAUAUAACUUCUCUGUACCUCAUGGUAUCUUCUCCAAAACAGACCAUGAAGUUAGUCCCAAUACAGGCCUCAUCAGAUACAGGAAGAUAGAAAUAAUCCAAUGCAUCCUAUCUGAUCACCAUGGACUAAGGCUUCUGUUCAAUAACAACAAAAUGACAGAAACACAUAUAUACACGGAAGUUGAAGAAUGUUCUACUCAAUGAUAUCUGGGUCAAGGAAGAAAUAAAGAAAUUAAAGAACUUUUAGAAUUUAAUGAAAAUGAAGGCAGAACAUACCCAAACUUAUAGGAUAAAAUGAAAGCAGUGCUAAGAGGAAAACUCAUAGCUCUGAGUGCCUCCAAAAAGAAACAGGAGAGAGCGUACACUAGCAUCUUGACUGCACACCUAAAAGCUCUAGAACAAAAAGAAGAAAAACACCCAAGAGGAGUAGAAGGCAGGAAAUAAACUCAGGGCUGAAAUCAACCAAGUAGAAACAAAAAGGAUUAUAUAAGAAUCAACAAAACCAGGAGCUUGUUCUUUGAGAAAAUCAGUAGGAUAGAUAAACCCUUAGCCAGACUAACCAGAGGGCACAGAGAGUUGUCCAAAUUAACAAAAUCAGAAAUGAAAAGGGAGACAUAACAGCAGAAUCUGAGGAAAUGCAAAAAAAUUGUAAGAUGCUACUAUAAAAGCAUAUAUUCAACAAACUGGAAAAUCUGGAGGAAAUGUACAAUUUUCUAGACAAAUACCUAGUACCAAUGUUAAAUCAGGAACAGAUAUACCAUCUAAACAACCCCAUAACCCUAAAGAAAUAGAAGAAGUUAUUAAAAGUCUCCAAACCAAAAAGAGCCCAGGACCAGAUGAGUUUAAUGCAGCAUUCUAUCAGACCUUCAUAGAAGACCUCAUACCAAAUUGUCCAAAGUAUUCCACAAAAUAGAAAUAGAGCAUACCUAGCUCCUUCUAGGAAGCCACAAUUAGGCUUAUGCCUAAAACACACAAAGACCCAACAAUGAAAGAGAAUUACAGACCAAUUUCCAUUAUGAAUAUUGAUGCAAAAAUACUCAAUAAAAUUCUUGUAAACCGUAUCCAAGAGCACAUCAAAACCAUCAUCCAUCAUGAUCAUGUAGGCUUUAUUCCAGGGAUUCAGGGAUGGCCCUAUAUGGAAAUCAUCAACAUAACCCACUAUAUAAACAAGGUCAAAUAAAAACCACAUGAUCAUUUCAUUAAAUGCUGAGAAAGCAUUUGACAAAAUUCAACACCCCUUCAUGAUAAAAGUCCUGGAAAGAGCAGGAAUUCAAGGCCCAUACCUAAACACAGUAAAAGCCAUAUACGGCAAACCAGUAGCUAACAUUAAACUAAAUGGAGAGAAGCUUGAAGCAAUCCCACUAAAAUCAGGGACUAGACAAGGGUCCCCACUCUCUCCCUACAUAUUCAAUGUAUUUCUUGAAGUUCUAGCCAGAGCAAUCAGACAAUGAAAGGAGGCCAAAGGGAUACAAAUUGGAAAGGAAGAAAUCAAAAUAUCACUAUUUGCAGAUGAUAUGAUAGUAUACUUAAGAGACCCCAAAAAUUCCACCAGAGAACUACUAAGCCUGAUAAACAACUUCAGCCAAGUGUCAGGGUAUAAAAUUAACUCAAAUAAAUCAGUAGCCAUCCUCUACUCAAAGGAUAAACUGUCUGAGAAUGGAAUUAGGGAAAUGACACCCUUCACAAUAGUUCCAAAUAACAUAAAAAUACCUUGGUGUGACUCUAACCAAGUGAAAGAUCUGUGUGACAAGAACUUCAAGUCUUUGAAGAAAGAAAUUGAAGACCUCAGAAUAUGGAGAUCUUCCAUGUUCAUGGAUUGGCAGAAUUAAUAUAGUAAAAGUGGCCAUUUUGCCAAAAUCAAUCUACAGAUUCAAUGCAAUCCCCAUCAAAAUUCCAACUCAAUUCUUCCCAGAGUUAGAAAGACCAAUUGGUAUUUUUUAUUAUAUAUUUUAUGUCUUUACUUUACAAAUUAUCCUCUUCCCUCUCCCCUUCUCCCCUGCCCCUGCUUCUAUGAGGAUACUCCCACUCCCACCCACCCACACUCAACUCAUCGCCCUGGCAUUCCCCUACACUGGGGAAAUGAGCCUUCACAGGACUAAAGGCUUCUCCUCCUAUUAAUGCCAGACAAUGCCAUCCUCUGCUAUGUAUGCGGCUGGAGCCAUGGGUCCCUCCAUGUGUACUCUUUGGUUGGUGGUUUAGUCCCUGGGAGCUCUGGGGGAAUCUGGUUGGUUGAUAUUGUUGUUCUUCCUAUGGGGUUGCAAACCCCUUCAGCUCCUUUUUUUCUAUUUUGAAUUUUUUUCAGUUAAAAGGAGUUAAUUGUUUAUUGAACCUUUAAUUGGUCCUUUUUCUCCAUGCUAUUACUGAUUAAGGAAGACCACCAGGUGCUACUCAGAGGAAGUCUGCUAUAGAGUAAGACUUUGCACUUACCAUUUCUCUGAUAGUGCAAACAUAGAUGGACAAAUGUCUCAAUCCUUUCUUCUCCAUGCUCCAUGUUCUCUAAAUCAGCCAUCAUUCUAACUGUACUGCUUUAUUUCAGGCAAAUGGUCAUGCAAGAAUGAGCAGUAAGACUUUGCAAUAGCUCUCCUACCAAAAGGGAAAAAAUGGUAGAAAAAGUGUCCAAGAAUUACAGCUCACUUGAACAACUAUUUAUUUAUUACCACUCAAUUAAUUAUUUAAAAAUUGCAUUAAUAGUUCGUUAGAUAAAAUAAUGAAAAUUAAAAUAAGUUCUCUUAAAAACAAGCUGGUCCUUCAGGAAUAGUAAAUAAUUACUGAUGAAAUAUUUGACUGUAGUAUAAGAUAAAUAUCUUGUCUCGAAGAGACCACAAUGGGAGUCUUUUUUAUGAUUCUAAUUUUGAGCCUAAAAUGCCCCAGUGUAGGGGAAUGCCAGGGCUGGGAGGCAGGAGGGAGUGGUUGAGCAGGUGAAUGGGGAAGCACAGGGAGGGAUUUUAUCAAAGAGAAACUGGGAAAUGUGAUGACAUUUGAAAUGUAAACAAAGAAAAUUUCCAAUAGCAAAAAAGUGUAUUGAACCUAACAAGUUAACACAAUUGUUAACAUGAAUUCUGAAUUGUUGUAAAAAAAUGUUCACAAGAAUUUCUUACUGAUUCUUUAUUUGGUCUACAUUUUAUUGUAUUUUUACUUCCUCUUUUCUAUUCUUUUUUUUCUUGAACACAUCUCUGUAUUUCUUCUCUACUUGUGCUUCUUUUUCACUCUUUUUUUUAAAAAUACCUACCUUACAAUUAUAUAUUUCUUUUUCUAUGUGAACUAUUUGCCUCAAAACCACAUUUUAUAGAAUAU